rnacentral:lncRNA from 1 species
AAGCACUUUGCUAACUAUUGGGAUUCGAAAGAGUGAUGAAAAGUAAAAUCGCACUAAGUGAACCCGAGGGACCGUAUGCUGCAUUCGCUUUGGUCUUACAUUCUCGGAUUUAUAGGAAGGGACUUUGAUAAUUCUAACGAGCACUUCCACCUUCUUAUCUUUUUAAAACUCUGCUCUCAGGGCGUGUAACCGAAUCUGUGUUUUGAGACAUCUUCUCUUGAGAGAAAACACAGAUUCUCCCCCAAUCCUCCAAAACCCUUCUCUUAGUGUUUGGUCACUGCUGUUAAGUAAAAUGUACUACAGUCUAAAAACUGGGCAGAAGUUAAAAACCCUUGUGGUCCCCACCAGCCAGGGGGUUCCUCUGUUUGUUAUUUCCUGGCUGCUAGGCACGUUCCUGUGACAUACAACAAACCCCCAUUAUAAAGGAUUAUAUGAUGAGUCAAUGAGCUUGUGAAAGAUAGCAACCAAAUGGUGACUCCAAAUUACAUGAAAAAUUACUAUAAUCACCCCUGCUGUAACACCCGACUGUUGGCAAAGUGGUUGAUCUCCUUGAAAAGCUUUAAAAGAAGGCCCAGUGUAUUAAAUAAAAAUCUCAGUUCUGUGUGUAAUCAUAAAAAUUAACGCUGUCACUUAAAAAAAAUCUAAUUGAUGUCCUAAAGGGAAACCUACGAGGCUAAGUAAAGUAGCUAUUAUGAAAACGUUUGCCUUUUGAAUGUAUUUCAGACGGUGUUUGCAUUGCCAGAUUUGUCAGCCAAAAAUUCACUAAGCAGAUUUGUCAGGGGCUGAGGCCAUAAUCUGUAAAACAGACAUUGGCAUAGAGAUUAAAGAUCAAGCGAAUUAUAUAGGUUUUGUUACCAUAUGCCAAAAUUACUUUCUAAAAGUAAGUUUGUUUUGUGUGGGCUGUAACCAGAAGCAAGCCCUAUCUUUGCUUGGUAUUUAAAACAGGAGCCUUUCCAGCUGAAAGCAACAAAACAGCUUCAUUCAUAGGCCUGAGCUCUGGAGGGUGGGGUGGGGGGGCAAGAUGUUUCUGACAUUCCUUCCCUCCUUUCUUCCUCUCUAGUGUUGUGUCUCCUGUUUGAGUCCUGAAUGAAACACCCAGAGCAGAAGAGCUGUUGAGUCCAAAGUCACCCUCUUCCCAGGAGGGGACCAUAGGACCUGGCCAGACGCCUUCACUGUUCAGGGAAUGUUUCCUCAAAAUGCAGGGUACAAACUUGGCAAUCUGGUUUCUCUUUUCUUGCCACCUUCACAUUUACAAAGCUCCUGCCAUGUCAUUUUAUACUUAGAAACAUCAGUGACCAAAAAUGGCUGGAUGCAAGACUCCUAAGUUCCUAUUCCAGCCUUGCAGCAACCUUGCCAGUGGCUCUUAGUUAAGUCCCAGAGUCACUUAGAACUCCUCAAUUCAUUAAAAAGGGCACGAGUCAGAUGGGCUCUCAAGAUCCUUGCCCUUUAAAAUUUUGUGAAUCUGUAAAGAAUCAGAUCUGUCAUAGUUUGCAAAUACAAAACCCUCCCAGAUACAGCAGGAAAAAGUACUCUUAUGUUGCUGUAAUAUACACUUGAAAGUUUAGGAUGGCAGUAUUCCCCCUAAACAGUUGGGGGGCAUCGUUACAUUAGAAAAACUAGGAAAAUAACAAAGUGUCUCUUGGAGUUCCAGUUAGUCACAGGUAAAGAUGCUUUCCCCAGAAUGGUGGAUACAGUCUUGGUAUUUACAACAGCCAGAGAUAGCAAUGCCAUUCUGGCACAUUUACACUUUUGAGAGGACUGUAUGUGAAACUGGUGGUAACACUUUAUAAUUUGAACAAUGGUUUGCAGAGAAAGCCUAGCCCACAGAUAACUCUGGGGCACAAAAAAUUAAUUUACCUAGAUGGAAAGGGCGUAACAUAGAAUUUGUGUGGGAACUUUCAAAGGCGCUUACACCAAAGCUUUUCCAAGACACUUUUAAAUUAUAUCUUCAUCACACAAAUGAAAUAUCGUUCAAAGAACCGCUGACUGAGAGAAGUGGCAAGCAGUCUUCCCAGUCUUUAUUCAGUAUUCACAUCCAGUCACAUUGGUAAACGUAAAUAUAUCACAGUGCUUAUUCAAACACUUACCAGUUAUCUAUAGAAAGACAAACUACCAUAUAUUCUCUGAAACAGAUUUUUCCUCCAUUUCUCUUUUUCAUUUUGCACCAAGUAUGUUAACUGUGAAGUUUGCCCCCCCCCCCCUUUUUUCGAAAGCAAAUGUUAGCUUUCUCCUGGCCCCACCCAUAAUUUUCCACAUUUUCUUGAGACAAACUCUGCCACAUUGAGAUGAAGUUCACAGCAAGCAGAAAUUCUAAGAAACAUCCAUAAGGGGUUUUGAGAUGGAUGCCUUGGUUCCAGAUGUGAAAGGAGAGCAGAUUUCCCUCCAGGGUCAAGUCUGGGGGUUUAGGAACCACGUUUGCCACCUCACUGGAUUUAGCAGAAAAGGAAGAUACCUGCCAAACACUUUCAUGCUCACAUAGACACUAGGGGGUGUCCAAGGACCAAAUGUUUCUCCUUUCCUUCAGCCUUGUCUCCUAUGCACUCCAAGGUCCUGCUAACUUAAAGCACAGGAACUGAGGGAAAAUCCAGCCAAUUAAUUCCUAUCUUGUGCUGAAAUGAAUAAUGUGAGGUCAGUUUCAUCAUCAGACCCCCAUGCCCUUGCAUCUCUGGCAUCAAUUGUGAUCUCGGGGUUCAGAGACAGGGAUUCUCCUAUAAGCCACAGGUGAUGGCGAGCCAGGUGCUAUGUUAUCAAAUGCUUUUUACUUCUGUGUUUGCCAGAAUUUCCGUGUAGUUGAAAGGAAGUCCCCGAUUGUUUCAUUAGUUUGUUUCUGCUUGGGUCUGUCCUCAUGAGCUGGAGGCUGGAGCAUGGUGAGAAGGCAGGCCUUCCUGUCUUUUCUUUCUUGAGAAAUCCGGCUUGCUUUUUAAUGUAGAUGAUUUGUUGAUUAUUAGCUGUUAGAAAACAUUUGCCCUUGUUGCUGUAGACAUCUUUAGGCCUUUGGGCCUGGGUCUCUUUAUGAAUACCUAUUACUUCUUAAUUAUGAGGGUUUAAUAAGAUAUGUCUUUCAUUUUCAUCUCCUCUCUCUCUUCUCCCGUGAUUCUUCUCCCUUUGCUAUUGGUCCCUUAGGGCAUGUUACUGGCUCCUGUUCUUUAUUGCUCCCGUCUUCCCUUAGCCCUUCCUGGUGAAUUAAAAAAAUAAAUAGAAUGCAUUUUAAGGAUGACAACAGUAAUAAUAAAGUCAGGAAUUGCUUUCCAGCUAAAUGCACUGAUUGGAAGUUCUAUCGAAAAUAGCAUAAACCUAAUUGAAGUAGUCACCCCCUCCCAUACAGGUCAUGCGAUGCUCUAUUAAAAGGAAGGUAAAACAAAGCUUGUGACAUUUCUGCAUUUCCCAGACUCACUUUUCCUAAAACAUAUCAAUAGUAUUGACAAUAGUAUUGCAUUGUGCUCCCCAGUGACCCGGCCUGUCAUCUUCUGGUCCUGGAUAAUUCUUUCUUAAUGAAACCUUAUCGUAUCCUUUACCUAUACCAAUCAACAGAAAAAUAAUUAUGUUUCUGCACGUAGGACUCAAAAACUUGAAAUAAAUCAAAAUGGCAGCGAUGAACUAGCCUAGGACACUGAUUAGGUAGAUGACUCGGAUACUCAAUACCCACCUAUUGUAGUUGUUAAAGAUGCUAAUACAUCCCCUCAAUUUAUGAAAAUAUACAAAUGGCUGAAGAGAUGUCUGAUGUGAAAUUAUCAGGAGAGCUGGGAUUAUAUACAAGGAUGUGUUAUUUGAUUUCAUUCUGAACAGUUUAAGUAGACUCCUCAAGGGUCAUUAGUUGGUCCUAAGCUUUAUUACUGAAGUCUCUUAUAUUAGAUGGAACUGACUAUCAGAUUUGAUGGCAAAGCACUAGCAGCUGGGAAACUGCUCUUUCUCUCCCCUCUCAUUUCCCAAACAAUGUUUGCACUGAUUAAUACUAUGCAACAAGACAUGACGCAGAGAUUGUGUUGGCAUUGUGCUCUGAUGACCCCACACAUUGUGUGCGCUCUGUGGUUCCUUUUGCUGUUCAUAGUUAUAUGGGUUUAUCAGAAAUUACAUGUCAGGCUCCCGAUGAGUGUAAUUGUAUCCUGAUUGUGUAUAGUUUUUUAAACCUCAUUAUUAGCCUUGUGUGCAAACCAAAUAAAAGGAAAGU